rnacentral:rRNA from 1 species
UACGUAGGGGGCAAGCGUUGUCCGGAAUCAUUGGGCGUAAAGAGCGCGUAGGCGGUCCGGUAAGUCGGUUGUGAAAACUGGGGGCUCAACCCUCAGAGGCCGACCGAUACUGUCGGGCUAGAGUCCGGAAGAGGCGAGUGGAAUUCCUGGUGUAGCGGUGAAAUGCGCAGAUAUCAGGAGGAACACCAAUGGCGAAGGCAGCUCGCUGGGACGGUACUGACGCUGAGGCGCGAAGGCCAGGGGAGCAAACGGG